ACCCAGCAUACCUCCAGCAGAAGGAUUGGCCUGCUAGAGUUGUAACAUUUGCUAACAUGAGUACACAUUGCAUACAAUGGUCCUAGGCUACACUAAUGGUCACGUUCCAAGCCCUAUGCCUGUAAAGUGAUUUGAACGCCAAUCGGCUACACUCCGAUACUGUACCUGCACCACGAAUAUGACAUCGUUUUUCCUCUAUAUAACCAUUAUAUUUGUUACGCUACUUGGGCGUACCUAUAAUGGUUUGGAAGAGAACCAUAAACCAACCACUGAAUUAAAUUGUAAUGACGGUCCUAGACACAUAUGUAAUAACACAGAUUGUAGCUGGACUGGCUUCUUGAAAGACGUUGUAUUUGAUUGCCCGCUUGAUAAUGACAAGUUUCAAUGUUCAGUGGAGACGGAUGAAGUAAAGAAAAACCAGGAAGAACAACAAACAGUACCAGUGGCACCGAUAUGCAAAGACAAUAGAAGCUGUGGAUUCCCUACAACAUUUGUCGGUGAAAGUGUAAGAUGCACCAUACAUAUGCAAAUACAGCCACCAAUAACAUCAAGAGGACCAGAAAAGAUGGAAGAUGGAAAAGGUUUGGAAGAGAACCAUAAACCAACCACUGAAUUAAAUUGUAAUGACGGUCCUAGACACAUAUGUACUAACACAGAUUGUAGCUGGACUGGCUUCUUGAAAGACGUUGUAUUUGAUUGCCCGCUUGAUAAUGACAAGUUUCAAUGUUCAGUGGAGACGGAUGAAGUAAAGAAAAACCAGGAAGAACAACAAACAGUACCAGUGGCACCGAUAUGCAAAGACAAUAGAAGCUGUGGAUUCCCUACAACAUUUGUCGGUGAAAGUGUAAGAUGCACCAUACAUAUGCAAACACAACUACCAGCAACAUCAAGAGAACCAGACAAUCUGAAGAAUGAAACAGAGCCAAAACACAAUAUACCCUGGUGGAUUUGGUUAAUCAUUUGCCUUUGCCUUUGGCAUUAGCGUUGGCAUUGGUGUUGGGAUUUGGAUUAAUCGAUGUCAGAAGAAAAAGGAUUCAUUUGAGACACGUGAUGAGGCGUAUAUAGAAGUGGAUGGAAUGGUAUAAAAAACGAAUGAGGUGGUAUUAUUGCAGGGGUUAACCUAUGGGUGCACUAGUAUGAGCCAUCAUCAGCCAGCAGGCUAUUUUAAUACUAAUCUCAUUGGGGUAAAUUAAUAAAAUGUUUUAAAAGAUAAAUCAAAUCUGCAUGGAUUAGUGUUUGCCAUCAUGUGUGAUGCAGUGAUAAAACACCUGAAAGAAUGCCUACAUUAACAUACAGUACCGGUCAAAAGUUUGGAGACACCUACUCAUUCCAGGGUUUUUCUUAAUCUUUUACUAUUUUAUACAUUGUAGAGUAAUAGUAAAGAAGACAU